AAAGGUAGCAUAAUCAUUUGCCUUAUAAUUGAAGGCUAGUAUGAAUGGUUUGAUGAAAACAAAGCUGUCUCCUUUUAAUUUUAUAAAACUUGAUUUUUGGGUGAAGAAGCCCAAAUAAAAUUGAUAGACGAGAAGACCCUAUCGAGCUUAAAAAAAUUUUAUUAAAACAAAGUUGCUUAUAAAAGACCAGUUAUAAUAAAAAAUUUUAGUUGGGGCGACUAAGGAACAAUAAAGCUUCCAUUUUNAAUAUUAUAGCAUAUUAGCUAUGAUCCAAAAUCUUUGAUUAAAAGAAUUAGUUACCGUAGGGAUAACAGCAUAAUCUUUUUUGAGAGUUCUUAUNGAAAAAAAGGUUUGUGACCUCG
rnacentral:rRNA from 1 species